UUUUUUUUAUAGAUAUUUGAUGUUUAUUUGAGAAAAGAAAACAUUGAGUAGCUAAAAUUCUUCUUUAAACUUGUUAUCAUUCAAACGUCAUUACAAGAACACAUAGCUCUGUUUUUCUUCUUACACACACUCAUAGAGAAAGCAACAAACAUUCUCUGUUACACCCACACGCCUACACCUUACCUACUACAAGACAUCACCUUUUGUAGACAAGCUUCCUACUCCAUGAUUUAAGGAAAAAGCAAAAGAUACUAAAAAGUACUUAGUUAACCAAACCUCUAGUUGUAGUUUCUAGUUAGUUUCCCCAAUUCCUUCUGUUUGGUUUUAACAACAAAAAGACAUCACUCAACAGUUGUACAUUUAGAAAAUACAAACCAAAAAAUCUAUUUUUAAUCUACUAAACAAAUUAAUUUUUCAUUUAAAUAUAUAUAUAUAUAUAUGGUUCUAUGGUGUACCUCAGGCUAAAAUCUAGUUUCUAACUACAUAACAAGAAACAAUUGUUUGUACUUUAAAUCUACCACACUAUAACAUUUUAUUAUGGGAUUUUAGAAUAAUUCAAGUGAUACAAUUUGUUAUAAAAUU
rnacentral:sRNA from 1 species